AAAGACCGAAAACCAGACAGACAUGGCAUCCCUAAACGCGAAACCCGCAACACUCUCUCUCUCUCUCCACCACCCAUGGAGGAGACCGCCAUCAUUUCAAAACUUGAAGCUUCCAGCUCCACAAGCCUUCAUCCCCUCGUCGCCGCCUACCUUCAGUCGUUCACCCAACUCCAGAACCCCCAAAAACCAAAAAAUCAAUCGAAUCCCAAGCCCACCAAACCCUCCGCUCCCUAGCCAAGAAAUUCCUCCCCUUCCUCAACCGCGAGCUAUCCGUUCUCCCCAAACGCCUCGCCGACCCCUCAAAGUUAGAUGACGAAUUUGCCCUCGAACUCUUCGAUAUUUACUGGCUUUGCCUCGACCGCCUGGCCGCCGUGUCCCCUGUGUUGUCCGCUUCUCCGUGAUCGUUUCACUCCCAGAGGGUGAGGAUGGUGAGUUGCCUGGUGGCAUGUGGGCGGUACGAGGAUGCGGAGAGUGAGGGGUAUAGGAUUUUGGAGAGCCUUAAGGCGAUUGAAUUUGAAUCGAAGAAAUUGGUGAAAUCGGACAGGAGAUUUGUGCCAGAUGUGAAGAAGGGGGGAGGAGAUGAAGAGUCUGGGUCUUUGUUGGGAGAAAUUGUGGUGGCGCUUGUGAAAUGUGCGGCCAUGAGUCAGAGUAAGGAUAGUGAGGUGUACGGGCGGGUGCUUUGUUUGGUUGAGGAGGUUGUGCCGUGGUCCUGAUGCAAGCACAUGUGAGAAGUUGCACAGGAAUCUCGUUGUCUACCUGAGUAUGUGUACUCGAUUUUAAGUUGGGGAGCUAUCAUCGUUCAACGGGGAUCUUGUGCAAAAGUUCUGCCUUGUAACCAUGGCUGAGUAUGUCAAGUCGUCAAUGAAAGAUACAAUGUUCAAGAGUGAGAUGUAUGAUGGUAUCCAUGAAAUUUCUCCUUGCCAUCAAUUAGCUGUGGCAUAUUGCUUACGUGCACUUUCUACCCAGGAAGCUGAACCCAACUCAAGGGUGCUAAUUCAUGAAGG